AGCGGAAGUCCUCGCCCUCCCGCCGCCCGGUAGCCCCGCGCCACGGCCGCCGCUUUGAUUUCCAGCAAUGGCUCCAGCACCAGACCCACGCAGUCCCCGGCCGCCGCCGCCACAGCCCGCAGCCGGCUCGCAGCGGCACUUGGAUUCUCUAGAACCUUCGGAGAAUUCCUAAAUCUGCAUUUGAAAGCCUCUGUUCUGGGUCUACAAUUGCUCGGUGGAAUAAAAUCUUCCAAAAGGUCUCAAAAGGAAUGCAGUCGGAUCGGAUCUACUUCCUUCUUCGGUUUACACGAAGAUCCAGGGAAAAUGAAAGCGCUUCCUCCGCCACUUCAUGUUGCAGAGCUAGUUAAAUAACCUCCCCGACCCGGGUUACGAACCCCAACGCCGGCUUCUUCCGGCAGACACCCCAGACUCCCACGUCUGCGGGACAAAAGGCUGCUGUGUCGCCUCGUGCGCUUUCCCAGCCGCACAAACUGUGAACCCAGUCUAACGUGGAACUACAAGUUCCCUAGGGAGAAGGGGAAGCCCCGGGCGCUGGACGCCCCACUCGGGGAAGCCCCCCUCCAACCCACGCCCGAGCGAGCAGUCCGGGGUCCGGGGACUGUGGGCCCAUACUCAGCGCCGGCAAAUCUCCAGACGCAGGCUCCGCAUAGCUGAGCCUCGGCCGAAGCCCGGGGUGCCCCUGGGCAUUGGAAAACAGCCCAGAGAAGAGGGCGGACAUGACCUCGGAAAGUUUUUGGGACUCGAACAUUUAACACUGUGAAGACAAAGAGAUCUUAUUUCCCCGGAACCGGUGGAGGGGACUGCUGGGGGAGCUGCGAGGCAGAUGCGGGCGGGUGAGUCUAGGGUUAAAGAGAGAAAUUCCUUGGUUCAAAGUUAAAUGCAGUCUCUUUUUAAACCAUCCCAAAGAAUGUACUUGUAAAAAUAAAGGUGUCCAGCAGGUUAUGGCUGGGAAAGA